rnacentral:rRNA from 1 species
GACGAACGCUGGCGGCGUGCUUAACACAUGCAAGUCGAACGAUGAAGCCGGAGCUUGCUCUGGUGAAUUAGUGGCGAACGGGUGAGUAACACGUGAGUAACCUGCCCUUGACUCUGGGAUAACUGCGGGAAACUGUAGCUAAUACCGGAUACGACCCUCGGAGGCAUCUCCUGGGGGUGGAAAGAAUUUCGGUCAAGGAUGGACUCGCGGCCUAUCAGCUAGUUGGUGAGGUAAAGGCUCACCAAGGCGACGACGGGUAACCGGCCUGAGAGGGUGACCGGUCACACUGGGACUGAGACACGGCGCAGACUCCUACGGGAGGCAGCAGUGGGGAAUAUUGCACAAUGGGCGCAAGCCUGAUGCAGCAACGCCGCGUGAGGGAUGACGGCCUUCGGGUUGUAAACCUCUUUUAGCAGGGAAGAAGCGAAAGUGACGGUACCUGCAGAAAAAGCACCGGCUAACUACGUGCCAGCAGCCGCAGUAA